AAAAAAAAAAAAAAAUUCCAGACAGUUACACUGAUUGCUUCCAGUGAUUCAAGCCCACUGGUAUUCAUGGCAUUUACGUCCUUGGGUAGAGUCUCCUCCUAAACUGACUUUGGGCUCGUCCUUAUGAAUCGCUUGGCUCAUGGGACCUGUGACACAGCAGAGGCUGGAUAAGCACGCACACACUGGGGCUUACAUUCUCAGAAUCCAGAUGCCCAGUAAAAAGAGAGGUCCCAGCUUCCCAUCUACCUCCACCAAGUGAGACCUUCCAGCUCCAGGCAACCCACCUGCCGAAUGCAGCUUCUUGAUCAAGCCCAGGCAAGACCAGCAAAAGAACCACCCAGCCAAGCCACAAAAUCAUGAGAAGCUGAAGCUUGGAUAUGGUCAUGACCCAGCUUUGACAGUGCAACUAAGGACAACAUCCUACGGAUGAUGACGCACAACGAGAUGGGAAGCGGCCAGAUCCCCAGCUGACCAGUCUGGACCACUCUGGUUUCUGGUCCCAGAAAAGCACCUGAUAAAAAAACAAGUGUUCAAUAAGCCUUUCCUGAUUGAUUGAAUGGGUGCCUGAAUUGGUAAGAACUAAAGCCAUAAAAAGUGAAUUGGAUUAAAUCUGAAGGGCCUGGGGUGUCCUGGAUAGGAAUUUGGACUUUACACUGCCCACAUUAAGGCUCCAUGGAAAGUUUUCAAGCAGAGAGAAUGAACUUUGCGUUUUCUGGCUGCUCAGAAUCGUGUUAGCUGGCGACGCCUGCUGGCCGUUUGGAACACUGCAGCCUAGCGCAGGCUGUGACUCCAGGGAAGAAGAGAUGAAGCAGUUGUUAAAUACUGAAAGUUACAAAUUAGAGGGCUAACACCUUGUGAUAAAUAACCUUUUGGAACUACUCUGGACCAUUCAGUGUGAUGGGUGCUGUAGUGGGGAUGGAGCAAACUUUAGACAUGGCUCCUGGUGUGGAAAUUUUAGGUUUCUUUUUUUAGCGUUUCUGUCCCUUGCUCUUAAGUUUAUAAAAAAUGCCUCUUCAACAGCUGGCCCAGCUGACACAACAGCUGGCCCAGACAGAGCAACACCUGAACAGUCUGAUGGCCCAGCUGGACCCCCUUUUUGAGCGUGUGACUACCCUGGCUGGAGCCCAGCAGGAGUUUCUGCACAUUGAAGCUGCAGAACGUGCACCAGCUGCUACAAGAGAGCAAGACAAAGCAAGGGCGUGGAAGUUCCGGAACCAGAGGCCAGCAUACUCUUUCCUAAGGUCUUAUGUAUAGAGGAGGGAGAGGAAGGGGCUGGUGACAGUCAGACCCCAGAGGACCCCCUAACCUGGAGCACAGGGACAAGAAACCUAGCAACACCCAGGGAAAUGGUGCGGGGGGCUAAGGAGCAAAUGCAGGAAGGCGGCAGCAAGGGCCCCGUCACAGACCCCAACUGGGAAGGAGGGACAACAGCUGACGGUUUAGUAAAACAAUCUGUUCUUAUGAAAAAAAAAGAAAAAAGCCUCUUGCACCCUCUGCUUCCUUCUGUAAUUCUUUCUCGUCCAUUUGCAUCGACUUAACGCCUUUCUCAUUUCUACCAAAGGAGUAAGUUAUUUGAGCCAACUUGUGAUUUUGAUUUAAAAAAAAAAAAAGAACCACAACCAAACCAAAAACCGCACACUGUGUGCACCACAACGAAGAGCAGCCCCGCUCACCUCAACUAGAGGAAGCCCGCGCGCAGCGGCGGAGACCCAACGCGGCCAAAACAAACAAGCAAGCAAACAAGACCCCCCACUGUCGUAAGAGAUGAGCCAUUUUCUCGGAUGAGACGGUACACCGAGGUCUUUGGCUUGACCCGCUGGGGAGAUUUUUCUCCGUUCUCAGUGUUGAGAGAAUAUGUUCUAUUCCUAAAAACCAGUUAGAUUGCACCUAAAGACGCUGUGCAGUCCCUGCAAUGAUCCUUUGCCCUUUAACUUCGGCCUCCGGAAAGAGACUUAGAGAAACUUUCUGGCCCCCUUUUAGCAACUGGAUAAGACUGUGCUUUUCUCUGUGCCAAUAUCAUACCUGAGUUUUAAAAAUCUUCUUUAUGUUUUUGUAAGCCACUACAGAUCUCUAACACAACAUAUGACUAACCAUUGGAAUGACUGGCCCAGAUAAAAAGUGUCUAGGAAACCACAGGACUGGAGAGGUGAAGGAGGAGGGCCUUAGGAGAGGGUCUGUACCUGGAGGGGUGGGGGGAGGAGGGCAAGGUUAAGCCUUGAAGGGAAGAUGGUACAUGGUAGGCUCUCCCCAUUCCUAGCAAUUCUCUCACACUUUCCUUAUAACUCUUGUCCUGGCUACUGCAGAUGACAAAAGAGCCGGUGUCUGAGAUGAUUUUUAAAAUACUUGAUGAACUGGUAACUAGCCACUCCCAUCCUCCGCCCCGAGUGGGCAGGUCUAACCGGGGCACCUGCGUCCUCCCCAGGUUGCCGUGGGGACGCCCAGCAGUACUGGAGGCAAGAGGGUGGCCUUCCCUGAGCGGACUGUGCAGAGCUGCUUUUUGUGGGUUGGUUGUUGUUUGUUUGCGUCGGGGGAGCUCAUGUAGGAGUUAAGUGAAUUAAGCUACAAAGAGCUGGCGGUUCCAGCAGAAAGGGGCCUUAGUUUUCUGCCAGCAAAGUGUUGCAAUCUGUUUUGACGGCCGUGCAUCUCUGUGCACGGAAAAGGUGCUUUUCCUUGCUUCCAGCUGCUAGAAAAAGGAGGGGAAGGAGCUGUCGGCCCUCGUUCCCGAGGCCAGGCUUUCAGACCUGGGCGGGAAGCAAGGCCAGGAUAAGUCCUCCAGGUCUAUGUCCCGCUCCUUUUGCGUCCUCCCAGACCGUUCCUGGGCCGGGCUCGCUGGGGUCCGAGGCUGCCCCACCGGCUCGGCCAGGCCUUCAGCUCAUCACUGGCUCUGUGGCCCCAACACCGGGCCACAUCCCUCACCUCCCUCCCCACGGCGGCGAGAGGCUCCCCACUUCGGGCUGGCAGCCCCCUGAUGCAGAAGACUGGCAGAAUCGACUCUAAAGAUUCAGAGUGACCGGUAAUGAGGACGAUGGACUUCUGCCUAGAGCAAAGUGUCUAUCUCUGCCCUGAGGCCUAGCGAGCAGUGGGGCUGGGGGGACAGCUGGGGGCUUGGGGUCGGGGAGGAGGCCCCUUGAGCCUUCCAAGGGCUCAGCGCAAUGAGGCUGCAGAGCUGGGAGGGCUGUGGAUUUGCAUCUGAAGCUAGCAUUGCCCCGGGUGGGCCUCCAUAGCCCCUAGCUACCUCACCCCAUGGACACUCAGAGGGUCGGGAAGGUGUAGGAGAGAAUCAGGCCUGAGCGGGGGGCUUCUGGGUCCGGGCCUGGCGAGCAACCACUACUCCUCUCCUGAAGUCCUUACCCACAUUAACUCCGAGGUAAGAAACGUGCAUCGUUGUGUUAAGACAGUUUCGAAGUGACACAGCAGUUGAUGACCAACACGUAAAAUGAAGCUGGGACCUUCAGAGGACACGAAGGUGCCUCUCGGCAGGUGUGGCCCGCCUUCCUGCGGCGAACCACAGGAACUUUCUCUCCUGCCCACAAACCUCCCUCUCCCUCCGUGUUUUCAUUCACAGCAGCCCAGGGAGAGACUGAGAUGUAUUUCCUCCUGCCCUUCUGACCCCAUAGUUGUAGGAAAAGUCAUCAAACUCCUUCAAGACUCUGCGCUCCAGCACCACCGCUACCCCAGCCCUUCAGGAGGAACUUAUUCCUCACCACACACCCACCUCAGGAUCUCCUGGCAGCUCCUAGCCCCAUAAAGACAGUCACUCCCUGGACCCCUGAGAGGUCCCCAGGUCUGCACAUUGAAAAGUUGGUGACAACAUCCCGCUCACAUUUUCCCCCGCCAACCUUGAGCCUCAGCCUCUUAUCUGAGGAGAAUCUCUCCAUCAGCAAUCAGUGUUUUAUGGCAGAUACAACACCACUCUUUUAAAGGAGGUUUUAUAAAAAUAUUUUCUUUAUGAGAGUAAUAUAAGCUCAAUUUCGAAAAAGUGGAGAAUCCAUAGGGCGAUCACGGUUAAGGCGUGCGUGUGCUGUCCAACCAAAUUCACUAUAAAUAACGUAUAAGCAACGAAGUGCUGAGUCAUUUAUCUCGCUGUGGCCAAAGCUCUGAAAUGGAACGGUUUGCACCUGGAGGCCUUGUGUAUUGAUAUUUAAGGCAUAUUCUGGCAGACAGCUACUUACAUCUUCUAGAAAAAUAAUGGAUGCAGAUAUAAGGGAGGAAAGGGAUUUCUGUGGGCCUCUUUCUGUCUGACCAGAAAGAAAUGGCCAUCAGGUGGGGAGGAUGGUGGAGAAAGGAAAUGACACAAAACACCUGUGUUUCAAUUCGAACUUUGCUCAAUGCCUGACACCUGUGAUCUCUGUG